rnacentral:lncRNA from 1 species
UCAAAUCUAAAGGCGUUCUAGUACAAGAAUAAAACUAACGCUUUUAGUAAUUCCUAUCGUCUCGUCCAUCAUUCAAGAGGCAUUGGACUUUGCUAUUUUAGAUUUGUGGUCUAGACAAAAUAAAACUAUGUUGCUUAGGACUCGAAACGCGUAACACAUUGGAUAUCAUGUAGCAAGUAAUGUCUCACAUUAGCCCCUUGGUUAUUAAAGAGUUGAUUAAUGUGAUUAACAUGCAAAGACAAAUAAUUACUUAUUUUUGUGUCAUUAAGUAAUUGAGAAUGAAAAAAAUUACGUUUUAACAUAUUGGCAAUUAUUCUAAUUUCAUAUUAAUAUGCAGGAAAAUAAUAUAAAAAGGAAAAUAUUUAACAUGCUGAAAUUAAUGAUUAUACGCAGAGAUGCAGUUCAGACAUGCUGAAAUUUAAUUAUUUUAUGCAGAAACGCAAUUUUAACAUGCUGAAAUUUAAUAUUAACAUACUGAAAAAUACAUUAACGCAAUUAUUUUUGAUAUGCUGAAAAAUAUGUUAAUGCGCAAGAAUUUUCUUCUAUUAAUCAUGCUACAAUUUUAACCUGGACAAGCUUAAUUCUAAUGUCAACAUGCUACAAGCAUAUUAAUAUGCAGGAAUUUAAUUGUUGACAUGCUAAAAAAUACUAACAUGCUGAAAGUAAUUUUAAUAUGUUGAAACAUAUAAUGACAUGCUUAAUGUCAAUUUAAUUUGUUGACAUGCUAAAGAUAUAUUAAUAUGUUCAAUGCAAAUUAAUAUGCUACCAUACUAAAAAUAUAUUAAUAUGCUCAAUGUCAAUUAAUAUGGUAUGUCAAUUUUAGUUAGAUCAAGAAUAAUUAAAAAAGUCGUAGAUCAAGUGUCGAAACGAUUCAUAUGUUAAUAAAUUCUAAUUUUGUGUGCCUAAAUAAUCCACGUAGCAUGUAACGCACAUAAACCUAAAUUGUGCCUACCUAUAUUAUUCAUAGAGCACAUAAAUCUCCACCCUAAAGCAAUCCCCAAUAUUUAUUAUUACAUCAAUAGUAACAUAUGUACAAUAAUAUUACAAACCAAAUAACAAGAACAUAAAACUAAAUAGAACUAAUACAAUUUAUUGUAAACACCCCAGCAACUCUUGCGAUCUCCAAAACACCACCAAUACCUGUUAGAUACAAAUCGAAAGAGCACGACAAGCGCAAAACAAACAACUCAUGAUCCUAAACCACACAUCGUUUCAAAUAGAGGAAUCCAAGAAGAUACGUGCAUAUUAAGCAAGUAUUGUUUCAAAUUAGUUCCUAUAGAUAUGUUUUCUAUAGAAGUAAAAAAAUUGCAUUGAAUGGAAACAUACUGGUGAUGAUAAAUAAUAUAAUAAGAACUAAGAAGAAGACCAAAUAGCUCAAAAUCCAGAAAGCAAAUUACCACCGAGAGGUCAGAAUUAAAGCUCCAAAAGUAAGUAUAGAAGCGAUAAAAUAAGACUGUUUCUUUUCUGUUUCUUUUCCAAAAGUUUUGUAGAAGAGAGUAUAUGUAGUCUGUUGUAACUUCUCAAAAUAAGAGAAUAGGGGUUGUUUAUAUAGUGGAGGGAUAAAUCCACCAAGCCAUAAAAAGGAAAAGAGAAUAUGUUAUGUAAUCAAUCAAUCACAAUUAUAUCAUUCAAAUAAUUUAAAAUCAGUCUAAACUAAUAAAAGGAAAAGAGGUAUCAAUCAACAGAAUAUGUGAUGUAAUCAAUCAACCAAAUUGCCUUAAAUAUGAAGAUCACACAUACUAAUAUAAUCACUCAAAACAAAUAGAAGGAAAGAAAAAUAUCAAUUAAUCUAAAUUUUCUUUUUGAACAUGCAGACUAAUUAAGGAUAAUAAUUAAGGCAAAUCAUUAUGUCACUUAAGGCUAAAAUCGUGUAAAAUUCGAUAAAAGAAAUUAAAAAAGAAAAAGCAUAUUUAGGAUAAUCAAUCAGUCAAAUUUCCUUCUAUAAGCAUGAAAAUCAAUCAAAUUCUUGCCCUGAAGUAUUAAAUUCAAAUCAAUAAUAGUGAAGGAAAGAAAACACUGCCAAGAAAUCAGUACCAAAGCUUGUCACACACUAAACAAAAAGGGAAGAAAUUUCCCCAAUGCAGAAACUAACAAGAUCAGCUAAAUACCAAGUAAACCAAUUAGAACGGGAACAAAUAUAUGAGUAAAUCGACUUCGAUCUUUACCAAUAUGAUUAAACGAUUAUGAGCAAAUAAUCAACCGAACUCGUCAUGUCACAAUGCCAGUUAACACCAAUCACAUAAUAAAUUUCUUCAAAUAAAUAUUUUCAAGUAGAGAUCAUAUUCACAGAAUAACAAACCAUGAACACGAUAUUCGACCUAAUACAUACUAGUAUCAUUACAAUAGAUUCAACAAAAUUCAAUCUAGCAAUCAAGAACACAACAAUUAAAUCAUUCAGUGCCUGAUUCAGAAAAUAGCGUCAGCUAAGCAUGAAAUCGAAAUAUUUGAAACAAAGAAAAUCAGAUCGAAGCCACCCCACGUAUUUCACAUCCACAAACAAAAUAAAGUAAAUCCAAGAACAAUCUUACCGGAGACAAAUUCAUCAUGCAAAAAAUGUUGGAAUUGAAUCCUUGACACUCUCGCGGGUUCGGUCAGAGCAAGCGAAGGCGCUAGUGAGGUUGCCGAUGGUGGCUACGAUGGAGAGGACGAACAGAGGGAGAUGGCAGCGGUUCAAGUGGCGACUGGCUUUACUAUUAUGCCGGCAGAGCCGGCUGGUCUGCUGGUGGUUGAUUCGCCGUAGCUGGCGGAGGCUGGUUCCGUUGGAGUUUUGGUGGUGAGCGUUGCGGCGAUUGGUGGCGGCGCUGGUCGCUGGUUUGGCUGAGGAUAAUGGGUCGUCGGUCGGUGGUGGUUUCUAGAACGAUGCUUCACCGGUCAUUACCUCCGGUGAAUCGACAACGACGGGAGGCAACGCCGAUUUCACGGCUGGACUGAUCAUUUUGGUGGAGCGGCGGCAUCGAUGAAGAGAAGAAAGUGGGGCGGCGGUGGCUGGUUUAUCGGAGGCGGGAGAGGGAGUCCGGCGAAUAGAGGGAUGGUUCGUCGUGAUGGACGCCGACGAAGGUGGUGGCGGCGGCGGUUUGAGUGUUUCUUUUUUUUAGAGAGAAAAUGGAGAGAGAUGAGAGGUAGAGAGAGAGGGAGUUAGGCGGCUUAGAAGAUGAAGAGAGAUGAGAGGUAGAGAGAGAAGGAGUUAGGCGGCUUAUUUUUUGUGAAAAUGAAUUAGGGUUCGGUGUUUUGAACUAAAAAGGACAGAGGAGAAGGG